CGCACCGAUGAAUCAGAAAAUUAUCCGACGAAAGGUAAAUUAGAAAUCCGGUUGAUGAAAAUAAAUGUGUCUUAAUAGUUAAUGAACGCUGUCACAUUUCCAGAGGACGUAAUAUAAAGUUAGGAAACAUACAAAAAUUAGGCAUACAUGAUGUCAUAGACGUGUCUUAAAAUGAAAUAUUCACCAUGGCUUGGAAAAUGAAAAUAAAUCGCAGUUAAAUUGGUUGUUUGAAAUCUAAAUACAAAUGUUUGCUUUAAAUAACCAAAUCUGCUCCGAGUUUAGUGACCAGAACUUAUGAAGGAACGUUUCCCGCUGAGCACUUGAUUUACUGUUGUUAAUACGCGAAGGAAGAAAAGGUUUACAUAGAGAUUAGGUAUCGCAGAGUAACUAGUCCAGCGAUUACAACCAUGGACCAUGAUUUUCUACGAUGACAAACGUGACAUGUGUUGACGCGCGACAUGAUCAGUAAUAAAUUUCAAACAAUAACAAAGUUACUCAUGUGUGUUGAGAUCUACUCAAGAUAUGGUAUACAAUCAGACACUCAAAUGUUCAUGUUUCCAACAGGAAAUUAUAUGGCAAGGAUCUGUUUAGCAACUAUUGCAGCGUAAUGUAAACUACCGUUGAUAAAUAUUCGUAAAAUUCCCACGGUGAUAUUGUUGCACGAACAAAGCGCUUUCAAAGAUGAGAAUAUUGUUGGGUCUGCUAUUUUACAUACAAUAGUUUGCUGAACUAGACAUCUUACCGAAACAUGCGCAGAAAAGAAUCGCAUACUGUUUCUCUACCCAGGGCUCGUGUACGAAUACGAAAAAGAGAUUAACGAAAUUUUCAGCUGCGCCACCUUAAAAUUUAUAAUUCCCUGGCUGGCGCCCGACCGUUUACGCCCACACCAAGUGUUGUGCACAAUGCAGUAUACUCGAUAAACACGCCUAUUCGCCACUUGAAAAAUCGUUGAUUGUUAGUUACAAAUUGUUUCGCUUGAAGACUUGUCACCUGGUUGAGUGACGUAUUUAAUAUCGACUUAAGUAAUUUAUAAUAUUCUGGUGUCGACAUUGAAUAUUAGGCGUUUAAUUAAAUUAAAAAUUAUGGGUAAAUAAAUAAAAAACAAUCAUUCUUUAUUUCGAUAAAGAUUAUACAUUUUCAGUACAACGUUUUAAUAAGUGUUGGAUUAUAAAAUUAAGAAACUUGAGCCAUUUUAGUUCUAAUAUUAACAAUAAUGGUAUAAACGAUUCUUUAACAAUGUUCGAAUGUUCUGUUGCAAUUAAUGCAACCGUAACGACCUUGGCAAUUUACAUUCUUGUCGAUGUUUCCAACGAAAUCGUUCUCUCAGGCAGAAACAAUGCCUUUGUUCCGUUUUUCCAUCAGAUGCUAUAUUGCCAUCCUUCUAGCCAUCAGCCUUGGCAAAUACAAAAGUGGAUAAACACUGCACCUCGUAUAUAGAAAUUUUAAUUCGAACUUCCUGUUUAUUGCACCGACUAUGAGCAAUGAAAAAACCAGACAAAAUUCCAGUUACACAAAUUUACCCCAAAACCUAAAUUUAACGAACUUAAAAAUACAUCGGUGUAAACGACCGAACCGACAACACGGGACUUCCCCGUGCAUCUCGGAAUAAACGUUAUCUCACGCAUAUAUUAACACAGUGCCCAAUCGAAGGUUCAAUUAAAUAGAUAAUUAGCACGCAUCAAGCGAAUGUAGCGAUUAACGAAACCGAGAUACAACCUAAUUACUCUUUACAUCUGCGCUGGUCAUUAUACCGUAUUAUUUGAAAUCGGUCGGCAACCGGUAACAUAACCGCUACUUUCCCUAAUCUCCUUAAAACUUUCCAACUGACCCUAGCAUUAUUUAAAUCCCGCGAUAAAUUGGAUCUAAUGUACAGGAUAAAUAGACCGCGAAGGAUUAACUGCACGAAUCCGAGGAUAAUGGCGUACAGCUGUACGAAACUCGGUCGGACGUAAUCAGGCUGUUUGCACGGUUAACCGUACUCGAUUUAUUAAGCAACAUGUAUAAUGGUUAUACAUGUAAGUAUGGUCGCGAGACCUGUAUCCUCUCGGCCAGCACGUUUUAUCUCGCACGGUUUGCAAACCGCACAAGCGAACCGAAACGCACGUGCGUUUUGCAAGAGGCAACGGGAGCGGGUGUUGACUCAUUUCGCGCAACUUCCACGGCUGCGUCGUUUAAAACUCUCUGUUCUUGUGUCCGUCUUGCAGCUGCUACGAGAGAGCAGAGUCCAUGCUCGAUCCCGUUUUUCUCUCCCUCGUUGGUAUUGUUCGCAAAUCGUUGCGCGACAAUUUCGCGUUAGGCAUUUCCUUCUUUGUUUCAGAAAAUGCUGCGAUGUCAGCAGGCCACGUGACGUUAUCGCACGCUUUGUGUCGCCGCCAGGAAAGGCACGCGAAGAUAAACAACGACAUGGUGCCGAGGCUAUCCGAGAUGGCGGUGCACGUGUAGAAAAUCGGUUUUGAUUACUUCUUUCCGUAUUUCGUUACAAGCGGCGACGGCACCAAUUUCUACGUAUCUAUACAACUAAUUAAUAUGGAUACGUAUCGAUUGCCAGCGUCAUGUUAUUACGGCAUCGGUCGGUAUAUGAGAAUACCGAGAACCGUUAGGUUUCACUGGAAUUUUGGAACUUUGAGACUUUAAGACUUUAGGGUUUAGGACUUUAGGAUUUUAUGAUUUUGGUACUUUGGGAUUGUGGUACUUUGGGACCUCGAACGAUAUUACACGAUUGAUAAGCUAUCACUGACCGUCUCGUUGCACUUGCACGUGCUAUGCAUAGCAGAUAUCCGCUGUUAUCUAGUCUCAAAGGUGAUUGACAGGAAAAAUAAAUCAGCACUUGCACGAUUAUUUGCAACGUUAUAAAACAACAACACAUCGCGAAUUGAGAACUUCUGCAUUGUAUAUCUACUGAUUUGCAAUCGUUAUUAUUAGUAUCUACUAAAAUAACUGUCAUUUUUGUCCAUAUACGCAGAUAAGAUAAGGAAAAUACUUCUACAAGUUGCAUCAGGAAA